AACGAACGCUGGCGGCAGGCCUAACACAUGCAAGUCGAGCGCGCCUUCGGGUGAGCGGCGGACGGGUGAGUAACGCGUGGGAAUAUGCCCUUCUCUACGGAAUAGUCCUGGGAAACUGGGGGUAAUACCAUAUACGCCCUUUGGGGGAAAGAUUUAUCGGGGAAGGAUUAGCCCGCGUUGGAUUAGGUAGUUGGUGGGGUAAUGGCCUACCAAGCCGACGAUCCAUAGCUGGUUUGAGAGGAUGAUCAGCCACACUGGGACUGAGACACGGCCCAGACUCCGACGGGAGGGAGCAGUGGGGAAUCUUAGACGAUGGAGGCAAACCUGAUCUAGCCAUGCGGCGUAAGUGAUGAAGGCCUUAGGGUUGUAAAGCUCUUUCAGCUGGGAAGAUAAUGACGGUACCAGCAGAAGAAGCCCCGGCUAACUCCGUG
rnacentral:rRNA from 1 species